GAACGAACGCUGGCGGCGUACUUAACACAUGCAAGUCGGACGAGAAAAGAGACUUCGGUCUCUGAGUAAAGUGGCGCACGGGUGCGUAACACGUAAGUAAUCUACCUCGAACUCCGGGAUAACUCUCCGAAAGGAGGGCUAACACUGGAUAGGGUCCCCGAGGUGUAGACUGCGGGGGGAAACGGGACCUCUGUUUCACGCUCGUGGUUCGAGAUGAGCUUGCGGCCC
rnacentral:rRNA from 1 species